GACGAACGCUGGCGGCGUGCCUAAUACAUGCAAGUGGGACGCACUGAUUUCACGGGAGCUUGCUCCACGAGGUCAGUGAGUCGCGAACGGGUGAGUAACGCGUAGGUAACCUGCCUACUAGCGGGGGAUAACUAUUGGAAACGAUAGCUAAUACCGCAUGCUAGCUUUUAGCGCAUGCUAGGAGCUUAAAAGAUGCAACUGCAUCACUAGUAGAUGGACCUGCGUUGUAUUAGCUAGUUGGUAAGGUAAGAGCUUACCAAGGCGACGAUACAUAGCCGACCUGAGAGGGUGAACGGCCACACUGGGACUGAGACACGGCCCAGACUCCUACGGGAGGCAGCAGUAGGGAAUCUUCGGCAAUGGACGAAAGUCUGACCGAGCAACGCCGCGUGAGUGAAGAAGGUUUUCGGAUCGUAAAGCUCUGUUGUAAGCGAAGAACGGGUGUAAGAGUGGAAAGCUUAGACUGUGACGGUAGCUUACCAGAAAGGGACGGCUAACUACGUGCCAGCAGCCGCGGUAAUACGUAGGUCCCGAGCGUUGUCCGGAUUUAUUGGGCGUAAAGGGAGCGCAGGCGGUUAGGAAAGUCUGGAGUAAAAGGCUAUGGCUCAACCAUAGUGUGCUCUGGAAACUGUCUGACUUGAGUGCAGAAGGGGAGAGUGGAAUUCCAUGUGUAGCGGUGAAAUGCGUAGAUAUAUGGAGGAACACCAGUGGCGAAAGCGGCUCUCUGGUCUGUCACUGACGCUGAGGCUCGAAAGCGUGGGUAGCGAACAGGAUUAGAUACCCUGGUAGUCCACGCCGUAAACGCUGAGUGCUAGGUGUUAGGCCCUUUCCGGGGCUUAGUGCCGGAGCUAACGCAAUAAGCACUCCGCCUGGGGAGUACGACCGCAAGGUUGAAACUCAAAGGAAUUGACGGGGGCCCGCACAAGCGGUGGAGCAUGUGGUUUAAUUCGAAGCAACGCGAAGAACCUUACCAGGUCUUGACAUCCCGAUGUUAUUCUUAGAGAUAAGAAGUUACUUCGGUACAUCGGAGACAGGUGGUGCAUGGUUGUCGUCAGCUCGUGUCGUGAGAUGUUGGGUUAAGUCCCGCAACGAGCGCAACCCUUAUUGUUAGUUGCCAUCAUUAAGUUGGGCACUCUAGCGAGACUGCCGGUAAUAAACCGGAGGAAGGUGGGGAUGACGUCAAAUCAUCAUGCCCCUUAUGACCUGGGCUACACACGUGCUACAAUGGUCGGUACAACGAGUUGCGAGCCGGUGACGGCAAGCUAAUCUCUGAAAGCCGAUCUCAGUUCGGAUUGGAGGCUGCAACUCGCCUCCAUGAAGUCGGAAUCGCUAGUAAUCGCGGAUCAGCACGCCGCGGUGAAUACGUUCCCGGGCCUUGUACACACCGCCCGUCACACCACGAGAGUUUGUAACACCCGAAGUCGGUGAGGUAACCGUUAAGGGGCCAGCCGCCUA
rnacentral:rRNA from 1 species